rnacentral:rRNA from 1 species
UGGGGAAUCUUGGACAAUGGGCGCAAGCCUGAUCCAGCCAUGCCGCGUGGAUGAUGAAGGCCUUAGGGUUGUAAAAUCCUUUUCGUGGGGGACGAUAAUGACGGUACCCCAAGAAGAAGCUCCGGCUAACUUCGUGCCAGCAGCCGCGGUAAUACGAAGGGGGCUAGCGUUGUUCGGAUUUACUGGGCGUAAAGCGCGUGUAGGCGGGUCGUUAAGUUGGGGGUGAAAUCCCGAGGCUCAACCUCGGAACUGCCUUCAAAACUGGCGACCUGGACUCAAGCAGAGGCAAGUGGAAUUGCGAGUGUAGAGGUGAAAUUCGUAGAUAUUCGCAGGAACACCAGUGGCGAAGGCGACUUGCUGGGCUUGUAGUGACGCUGAGACGCGAAAGCGUGGGGAGCAAACAGGAUUAGAUACCCCUGUAGUCCCUGAGCGGGCUGGCAAGGCGCAU